rnacentral:lncRNA from 1 species
CCUCCCGGCCGCCGGGGGCGCCCCUCCUGCGGCCUCAGGGCCGGCGCCGCCUCCCGCUGGGUCUCCGCCCCCGCGCUGUGAUUGGCCGGCGGGGCGGGGCGGGGCGGGGCGGGGGCGGGGCCGAGGAGGCCGGGGCGACCGCGAGCGGCUCGGCGGGGUUGCCCGACCCCAGGGCGGCGGCCGCGGUCACCGCCCUCGCCCCGCGGUUCCCCGCAGCGACUGGUUCCUGCCGCGGCUCCGGGUUUCCUUCCGCGAAAUGAAAGCGGGCGGCGGCGCGUCGGUAGGAGCAGCGGCUCCGGGCUAGAGAGCAGGUGCCAGGAGUGGCCGUGGACCACCAAGGCACCAAGCUGGAACAGGUCAUCCCAGCGACAUGGUGCUGAGCCCCUCCAAGAAGGACAUCAGUGCGCCCGGGGCCCUGGGGGCUUUCAUCGCCGGCCAGCAGCACCGGCGGCGGCCGCUCUGUGCGACAUCUGUGGGGAGCUGGAGCCUGUGCCACCGGCCGGACGCCUCCUGAGGGCAGAGGGGCCUGGUGCCCCAGGAGCUGCUGCGGCUCAGAAAGGGUCACAAACCUGGGACAAUGGAAAAGUAUGGUCACAGAGUACUAGCAGCCCGGACGCCUGGGGACUCAGCGGGUGAGCACCGCCUGCAGACCAGGGCGUGACCCCGGGGUCCCAGGAUCCGGAUCGAGUCCCACGUCAGGCUCCCCACAGGGAGCCUGCUUCCCCCUCUGCCUGUGUCCCUGCCUCUCUCUGUGUCUCUCAGG